GACAGAGGGUGCAAACGUUGCUCGGAAUCAUUGGGCGUAAAGCGCGUGUAGGUGGCUCGCCACGUCGGAUGUGAAAGCCCGGGGCUCAACCCCGGCAGUGCAUCCGAAACGAGGGAGCUAGAGUGCUGGAGAGGCGGGUGGAAUUCCUGGUGUAGCGGUGAAAUGCGUAGAUAUCGGGAGGAACAUCAGUGGCGAAGGCGGCUACCUGGCCCAAUACUGACACUCAGGUGCGACAGCGUGGGGAGCAAACAGG
rnacentral:rRNA from 1 species